AUUGAACGCUGGCGGCAGGCCUAACACAUGCAAGUCGAAUGGUAACAGGAAGAAGCUUGCUUCUUUGCUGACGAGUGGCGGACGGGUGAGUAAUGUCUGGGAAACUGCCUGAUGGAGGGGGAUAACUACUGGAAACGGUAGCUAAUACCGCAUAACGUCGCAAGACCAAAGAAGGGGACCUUCGGGCCUCUUGCCAUCGGAUGUGCCCAGAUGGGAUUAGCUAGUAGGUGGGGUAACGGCUCACCUAGGCGACGAUCCCUAGCUGGUCUGAGAGGAUGACCAGCCACACUGGAACUGAGACACGGUCCAGACUCCUACGGGAGGCAGCAGUGGGGAAUAUUGCACAAUGGGCGCAAGCCUGAUGCAGCCAUGCCGCGUGUAUGAAGAAGGCCUUCGGGUUGUAAAGUACUUUCAGCGGGGAGGAAGGGAGUAAAGUUAAUACCUUUGCUCAUUGACGUUACCCGCAGAAGAAGCACCGGCUAACUCCGUG
rnacentral:rRNA from 1 species